GACGAACGCUGGCGGCGUGCCUAAUACAUGCAAGUAGAACGCUGAAGGAGGAGCUUGCUUCUCUGGAUGAGUUGCGAACGGGUGAGUAACGCGUAGGUAACCUGCCUGGUAGCGGGGGAUAACUAUUGGAAACGAUAGCUAAUACCGCAUAAGAGUAGAUGUUGCAUGACAUUUGCUUAAAAGGUGCAAUUGCAUCACUACCAGAUGGACCUGCGUUGUAUUAGCUAGUUGGUGAGGUAACGGCUCACCAAGGCAACGAUACAUAGCCGACCUGAGAGGGUGAUCGGCCACACUGGGACUGAGACACGGCCCAGACGCCUACGGGAGGCAGCAGUAGGGAAUCGUCGGCAAUGGACGGAAGUCUGACCGAGCAACGCCGCGGGAGUGAAGAAGGUUUUCGGAUCGUAAAGCUCGGUUGUAAGAGAAGAACGAGUGUGAGAGUGGAAAGUUCACACUGUGACGGUAUCUUACCAGAAAGGGACGGCUAACUACGUG
rnacentral:rRNA from 1 species